rnacentral:rRNA from 1 species
CUAGCCGUAAACGAUGGAUACUAGGCGUUGUGAGUAUCGACCCCCACAGUGUCGUAGCUAACGCGUUAAGUACCCCGCCUGGGGAGUACGCGCGCAAGCGUGAAACUCAAAGGAAUUGACGGGGGCCCGCACAAGCGGUGGAGUAUGUGGUUUAAUUCGAUGCAACGCGAAGAACCUUACCAGGACUUGACAUGUCGCGAAUCUCAGGGAAACUUGAGAGUGCCUUCGGGAGCGCGAACACAGGUGGUGC